CACUUUGAAACAUUGGUUCUCGUGCGAUCACCGAAGUUAAGCAACGUCGAGCCUAGUCACUACCUAGAUAGGGAACCUCUUUGGAAUACCAGGUGAUGUAAG